UACGUAGGGUGCGAGCGUUGUUCGGAAUCACUGGGCUUAAAGGGCGCGUAGGCGGGCCGGACGGUCCGGGGUGAAAUCCCCCCGCUCAACGGGGGAACGGCCUCGGACACCGCCGGCCUCGAGGGGGGUAGGGGCGAGCGGAACGCUGGGUGGAGCGGUGAAAUGCGUUGAUAUCCAGCGGAACUCCGGUGGCGAAGGCGGCUCGCUGGACCCCUUCUGACGCUGAGGCGCGAAAGCCAGGGGAGCGAACGGG
rnacentral:rRNA from 1 species